GACGAACGCUGGCGGCGUGCUUAACACAUGCAAGUCGAACGGAAAGGCCCCCACCUUGGUGGGGGUGCUCGAGUGGCGAACGGGUGAGUAACACGUGGGUGAUCUGCCCUGUACUUCGGGAUAAGCUUGGGAAACUGGGUCUAAUACCGGAUAGGACCAUGGUUUAGUGUCUCAUGGUGGAAAAAUUAUUGUUUUGGUGCAGGAUGAGCUCGCGGCCUAUCAGCUUGUUGGUGGGGUAAUGGCCUACCAAGGCGUCGACGGGUAGCCGGCCUGAGAGGGUGGACGGCCAAAUUGGGACUGAGAUACGGCCCAGACUCCUACGGGAGGCAGCAGUGGGGAAUAUUGCACAAUGGGCGCAAGCCUGAUGCAGCGACGCCGCGUGGGGGAUGACGGCCUUCGGGUUGUAAACUCCUUUCGUUAGGGACGAAGCCACACCUUUUUUGGGUGUGGUGACGGUACCUUUGUUAAGAAGCACCGGCUAACUACGUG
rnacentral:rRNA from 1 species